rnacentral:rRNA from 1 species
UACGUAGGGUGCAAGCGUUGUCCGGAAUUAUUGGGCGUAAAGGGCGCGUAGGCGGCCUGGCAAGUGGAAGGUGAAAUCCCUCGGCUUAACCGAGGAACUGCCCUCCAAACUGCUUGGCUUGAGACCGGGAGAGGUGAGUGGAAUUCCCAGUGUAGCGGUGAAAUGCGUAGAUAUUGGGAGGAACACCAGUGGCGAAGGCGACUCACUGGCCCGAUACUGACGCUGAGGCGCGAAAGCGUGGGGAGCAAACAGG